rnacentral:rRNA from 1 species
ACGAACGCUGGCGGCAUGCCUAACACAUGCAAGUCGAACGCUUGUCUUUCAGCAAUGGGAGGCGGGAGUGGCGGACGGGUGAGUAACGCGUGGGAACCUGCCCAGGGGUGCGGGACAACACCGGGAAACCGGUGCUAAUACCGCAUGAUGCACCCGCAAGGGAUGCUAAAGAUUUAUCGCCUUUGGAGGGGCCCGCGUCGGAUUAGGUAGUUGGUGGGGUAACGGCCUACCAAACCUACGAUCCGUAGCUGGUCUGAGAGGAUGGCCAGCCACACUGGGACUGAGACACGGCCCAGACUCCUACGGGAGGCAGCAGUGGGGAAUCUUGGACAAUGGGGGCAACCCUGAUCCAGCGAUGCCGCGUGGGUGAUGAAGGCCUUCGGGUUGUAAAGCCCUUUCGGCGGGGACGAUAGUGACGGUACCCGCAGAAGAAGCCUCGGCUAACUCCGU